rnacentral:rRNA from 1 species
CCUGACUGCUAUCGGAUUGAUACUAAGCCAUGCGAGUCAUUGUAGCAAUACAAGGCAGACGGCUCAGUAACGCGUAGUCAACCUGCCCUAUGGACGGGAAUAACCUCGGGAAACUGAGUAUAAUUCCCGAUAGAACAUUAUACCUGGAAUGGUUUAUGUUCCAAAUGAUUUAUCGCCGUAGGAUGGGACUGCGGCCUAUCAGUUUGUUGGUGAGGUAAUGGCCCACCAAGACUAUUACAGGUACGGGCUCUGAGAGGAGUGGCCCGGAGAUGGGUACUGAGACACGGACCCAGGCCCUAUGGGGCGCAGCAGGCGAGAAAACUUUGCAAUGUGCGCAAGCACGACAAGGUUAAUCCGAGUGUUUCCUGCUAAAGGAAUCUUUUGUCAGUUCUAAAAAUACUAACGAAUAAGGGGUGGGCAAGUUCUGGUGUCAGCCGCCGCGGUAAAACCAGCACCUCAAGUGGUCAGGAGGAUUAUUGGGCCUAAAGCAUCCGUAGCCUGCUUUGUAAGUUUCCGGUUAAAUCCAUUAGCUUAACUGAUGGGCCGCCGAAAAAACUGCAAAGCUAGGGAGUGGGAGAGGUAGACGGUACUCAGUAGGAAGGGGUAAAAUCCUUUGAUCUAUUGAUGGCCACCAGUGGCGAAGGCGGUCUACCAGAACACGUUCGACGGUGAGGGAUGAAAGCUGGGGGAGCAAACCGGAUUAGAUACCCGGGUAGUCCCAGCUGUAAACGAUGCAGACUCGGUGAUGCCCUGGCUUGUGGCCAGUGCAGUGCCGCAGGGAGGCCGUUAAGUUUGCCGCCUGGGAAGUACGUACGCAAGUAUGAAACUUAAAGGAAUUGGCGGGGGAGCACCACAAGGGGUGAAGCCUGCGGUUC